rnacentral:rRNA from 1 species
UACAGAGGUCUCAAGCGUUGUUCGGAUUCAUUGGGCGUAAAGGGUGCGUAGGCGGCGCGGUAAGUCGGGUGUGAAAUCUCGGGGCUUAACUCCGAAACUGCAUUCGAUACUGCCGUGCUUGAGGACUGGAGAGGAGACUGGAAUUUACGGUGUAGCGGUGAAAUGCGUAGAUAUCGGGAGGAACACCAGUGGCGAAGGCGACUUCCUGGCCUGUUCUUGACGCUGAGGCGCGAAAGCUAGGGGAGCAACGGGG